UACGUAGGGGGCUAGCGUUGUCCGGAAUCAUUGGGCGUAAAGAGCGUGUAGGCGGUCCGGUAAGUCCGCUGUGAAAGUCGGGGGCUCAACCCUCGAAUGCCGGUGGAUACUGUCGGGCUAGAGUGCGGAAGAGGCGAGUGGAAUUCCUUGUGUAGCGGUGAAAUGCGCAGAUAUCAGGAGGAACACCUAUUGCGAAGGCAGCUCGCUGGGACGUAACUGACGCUGAGACGCGAAAGCGUGGGGAGCAAACAGG
rnacentral:rRNA from 1 species